GAUUAUAUAGAUUAUAUAAAUCAUAAAGCUGUUAACUUUAAAAAAUUUUUUAAUAAGGAUUAUAAUCG
rnacentral:tRNA from 1 species